GACGAACGCUGACGGCGUGCUUAACACAUGCAAGUCGAAGGGAGUGGCGAACGGGUGAGUAAAACGUGAGUAACCUGCCCGUUUCUUUGGGAUAAGCCUGGGAAACUGGGUCUAAUACUGGAUGGAGUGGGAUGGGCUCGCGGCGUAUCAGCUUGUUAGUGGGGUGACGACUUCCCAAGGCUUUGCCGGGUAGCCGGGCUGAGCGGGUGGACGGUCACGCUGGGACUGAGCUACGGCCCAGAGUCGGAAGGGAGGGAGAAGUGGGGGAUAUGGCAGAAUGGACGAGAGUCCGAUGCAGCGACGUGGUAGAGGGGAUGAGGGCCGUCGGGUUGUAAAAUCGUGUCGGAAGGGGAGUGGUAAUGGGUGAAGAAGCGCCGGCUAACUACGUGCCAGCAGCCGCGGUAAUUC
rnacentral:rRNA from 1 species